rnacentral:rRNA from 1 species
CAGUAGCCACGGUAACACGUAGGGUGCAAGCGUUAAUCGGAAUUACUGGGCGUAAAGCGUGCGCAGGCGGUUUGUUAAGACAGAUGUGAAAUCCUCGGGCUUAACCUGGGAACUGCAUUUGUGACUGGCAAGCUAGAGUAUGGCAGAGGGGGGGUGGAAUUCCGCGUGUAGCAGUGAAAUGCGUAGAUAUGCGGAGGAACACCGAUGGCGAAGGCAGCCCCCUGGGCCAAUACUGACGCUCAUGCACGAAAGCGUGGGGAGCAAACAGGAUUAGAUACCCGAGUAGUCCCUGUCUCUUAUU